GUAGGGAAUCUUCCACAAUGGACGCAAGUCUGAUGGAGCAACGCCGCGUGAGUGAAGAAGGUUUUCGGAUCGUAAAGCUCUGUUGUUGGUGAAGAAGGAUAGAGGCAGUAACCGGUCUUUAUUUGACGGUAAUCAACCAGAAAGUCACGGCUAACUACGUGCCAGCAGCCGCGGUAAUACGUAGGUGGCAAGCGUUGUCCGGAUUAUUGGGCGUAAAGCGAGCGCAGGCGGAAUGAUAAGUCUGAUGUGAAAGCCCACGGCUCAACCGUGGAACUGCAUCGGAAACUGUCAUUCUUGAGUGCAGAAGAGGAGAGUGGAACUCCAUGUGUAGCGGUGGAAUGCGUAGAUAUAUGGAAGAACACCAGUGGCGAAGGCGGCUCUCUGGUCUGCAACUGACGCUGAGGCUCGAAAGCAUGGGUAGCGAACAGGAUUAGAUACCCUGGUAGUCCAUGCCGUAAACGAUGAGCGCUAGGUGUUGGGGACUUCCGGUCUCAGUG
rnacentral:rRNA from 1 species